rnacentral:misc_RNA from 1 species
AAAAUACGAAAAGUAAUACGAAUUGCAGAAACGAAUCAUCGAAUCUUUGAACGCACAUUGCGCCCUCUGGCAUUCCGGGGGGCAUGCCUGUCCGAGCGUCAUUACGCACCCUCAAGCCCGGCUUGUGUGAUGGGCCCUGGCGUCUCGUUCGCGAGACGGGCCCGAAAGGCAGCGGCGGCGUCGACCCGAUGAGCCCGAGCGUAUGGGGACUUUUGUCACACGUUUGCGGUGCGGACCGGCGCCUGCUUGACUUUUCUGAUUAUCCAGGUUGACCUCGGAUCAGGUAGGGAUACCCGCUGAACUUAAGC